rnacentral:lncRNA from 1 species
GAGAAAGUCACUACUUGUCUAUAGAUUUUUAUUUCAUUAGUAUCCCUAGGGUCCAGUUGUCAUAAAAUUCUCAGAUGAGGCACACGUUGUACUCUGCAGGUUGCUCAAACAAUGAAUUCAUAUGCAGCUGAUCCAGUUUUCUUACCAUGUUGGGGUAUUCCUAUAGUAACUUCGUCCGGUUAAUAAAAUCAUUUAGGGCAUACUUCAUCUCAUUUUGCUUUGAGUACCAUUUCUUUCCAGCCUCUUCCACCUAUCUGGUCCCAUAUCUAUCUGUUUGCCUACAUAGGAUAGCAUGAUCUCUUUGCACCCAGCUAGUUGGUCUGUUUUUUUUUUAGAAGGCUCAGAUGGCCUAGUAAUAUCCUUUCCC